rnacentral:rRNA from 1 species
GGGGGCCCGCACAAGCGGCGGAGCAUGCGGAUUAAUUCGAUGCAACGCGAAGAACCUUACCAAGGCUUGACAUGGGCCGGACCGGGCUGGAAACAGUCCUUCCCCUUUGGGGCCGGUUCACAGGUGGUGCAUGGUUGUCGUCAGCUCGUGUCGUGAGAUGUUGGGUUAAGUCCCGCAACGAGCGCAACCCUCGUUCCAUGUUGCCAGCGCGUAAUGGCGGGGACUCAUGGGAGACUGCCGGGGUCAACUCGGAGGAAGGUGGGGACGACGUCAAAUCAUCAUGCCCCUUAUGUCUUGGGCUUCACGCAUGCUACAAUGGCCGGUACAAAGGGUUGCGAUACUGUGAGGUGGAGCUAAUCCCAAAAAGCCGGUCUCAGUUCGGAUUGGGGUCUGCAACUCGACCCCAUGAAGUCGGAGUCGCUAGUAAUCGCAGAUCAGCAACGCUGCGGUGAAUACGUUCCCGGGCCUUGUACACACCGCCCGUCAAGUCACGAAAGUUGGUAACACCCGAAGCCGGUGGCUUAACCCCUUGUGGGAGGGAGCCGUCGAAGGUGGGAUCGGCGAUUGGGACGAAGUCGUAACAAGGUAACCGUAAGGGC